rnacentral:rRNA from 1 species
AUCUAUUCCUGUAUUGACCUGAGCACGCCCAAUCUCAUAUGAUAUUGGAAGCUCAGCAGGCCUUGGCUUAGUUAGUAGUUGGAUGAGAGAAUAUCCCAAUGGGGGUAAUAAGCUGGACCAUAAU